CAUGCAAGUCGAGCGGAUGACGGGAGCUUGCUCCUUGAUUCAGCGGCGGACGGGUGAGUAAUGCCUAGGAAUCUGCCUGGUAGUGGGGGACAACGUUUCGAAAGGAACGCUAAUACCGCAUACGUCCUACGGGAGAAAGCAGGGGACCUUCGGGCCUUGCGCUAUCAGAUGAGCCUAGGUCGGAUUAGCUAGUUGGUGGGGUAAUGGCUCACCAAGGCGACGAUCCGUAACUGGUCUGAGAGGAUGAUCAGUCACACUGGAACUGAGACACGGUCCAGACUCCUACGGGAGGCAGCAGUGGGGAAUAUUGGACAAUGGGCGAAAGCCUGAUCCAGCCAUGCCGCGUGUGUGAAGAAGGUCUUCGGAUUGUAAAGCACUUUAAGUUGGGAGGAAGGGCAGUAAGCUAAUACCUUGCUGUUUUGACGUUACCGACAGAAUAAGCACCGGCUAACUCUGUGCCAGCAGCCGCGGU
rnacentral:rRNA from 1 species